AGCGAACGCUGGCGGCAGGCUUAACACAUGCAAGUCGAGCGGGCCCUUCGGGGUCAGCGGCAGACGGGUGAGUAACGCGUGGGAACGUGCCCUUCGGUUCGGAAUAACUCAGGGAAACUUGAGCUAAUACCGGAUACGCCCUUAUGGGGAAAGGCUUGCUGCCGAAGGAUCGGCCCGCGUCUGAUUAGCUAGUUGGUGAGGUUAUGGCUCACCAAGGCGACGAUCAGUAGCUGGUCUGAGAGGAUGAUCAGCCACACUGGGACUGAGACACGGCCCAGACUCCUACGGGAGGCAGCAGUGGGGAAUAUUGGAAAAUGGGGGCAACGCUGAUCCAGCCAUGACGCGUGAGUGAUGACGGCAUUAGGGUUGUAAAGCUCUUUUCUCCGGGACGAUAAUGACGGUACCGGAGGAAUAAGCCCCGGCUAACUUCGUG
rnacentral:rRNA from 1 species